rnacentral:lncRNA from 1 species
ACCUUCUUGUGUAGGGAUAUCAAUCAUAACAGAGUGAGUAUUUCAUAUUUGGCUAUAAGCUAGCAUAGGGAAUUCUCAAUUACUUGCAAGGCUCCUUCUAUACAUAAAUGUCACAAUAAGAAAAAAAGAUAUGCUCCAGAAAUAAGAUACUCUAGAAACUAAGAAAGUGCAUUGGGUCGUAAAGCUUUUAAAGAAAUAAAAUAAAAUGUAUGUAGCGCCC